rnacentral:lncRNA from 1 species
UCUUUUAUGUUGUUAUUUAACUAUCUUGAUGGUACUCCUCAGUUCACUACAUGUCCUAGUUCAGUGUGUCUCUCUCAACCAGUUACUUAUGAGU